rnacentral:rRNA from 1 species
AUGCGAUUCAACGAUGACUUUGCGCUUGUCUUGGGGAUUAGUGGCGACGGGUGAGUAACACGUGAGCAAUGUGCCCUUGACUCUGGAAUAAGCGCUGGAAACGGCGUCUAAUACCGGAUACGACCUUCGGAGGCAUCUCCUGAAGGUGGAAAGAACUUCGGUCAAGGAUCAGCUCACGGCCUAUCAGCUUGUUGGUGAGGUAACGGCUCACCAAGGCGACGACGGGUAGCCGGCCUGAGAGGGUGACCGGCCACACUGGGACUGAGACACGGCCCAGACUCCUACGGGAGGCAGCAGUGGGGAAUAUUGCACAAUGGGCGCAAGCCUGAUGCAGCAACGCCGCGUGAGGGACGACGGCCUUCGGGUUGUAAACCUCUUUUAGCAGGGAAGAAGCGAAAGUGACGGUUCCUGCAGAAAAAGCACCGGCUAACUACGUGCCAGCAGCCGCGGUAAUACGUAGGGUGCAAGCGUUGUCCGGAAUUAUUGGGCGUAAAGAGCUCGUAGGCGGUUUGUCACGUCUGCUGUGAAAUCCCGAGGCUCAACCUCGGGCUUGCAGUGGGUACGGGCAGACUAGAGUGCGGUAGGGGAGAUUGGAAUUCCUGGUGUAGCGGUGGAAUGCGCAGAUAUCAGGAGGAACACCGAUGGCGAAGGCAGAUCUGUGGGCCGUAACUGACGCUGAGGAGCGAAAGCAUGCGGAGCAAACAGGCUUAGAUACCCUGGUAGUCCAUGCCGUAAACGUUGAGAACUAGAUGUGGGGACCUUUCCACGGUCUCCGCGUCGUAGCUAACGCAUUAAGUUCCCCGCCUGGGGAGUACGGCCCAAGGCUAAAACUCAAAGUUU